rnacentral:rRNA from 1 species
UACGGUUGCAAAGCUGAAACUUAAAGGAAUUGACGGAAGGGCACCACCAGGAGUGGAGCCUGUGGCUUAAUUUGACUCAACACGGGAAACCUCACCCGGUCCGGACACUGGAAGGAUUGACAGACUAAAGCUCUUUCUUGAUUCAGUGGGUGGUGGUGCAUGGCCGUUCUUAGUUGGUGGAGUGAUUUGUCUGGUUAAUUCCGAUAACGAACGAGACUCUCGCCUGCUAAAUAGUUUUCCAUACGUUACUUUAUGGAACCUAAAACUUCUUAGAGGUACAAGUGGCGUUUAGCCACACGAAACAGAGCAAUAACAGGUCUGUGAUGCCCUUAGAUGUCCGGGGCCGCACAUGUGCUACAAUGAAUGCAUCAACGUGUAUCAGCCUCGCCCGAAAGGGUUGGGGAAUCCGCUGAACGGCAUUCUCAGUAGGGAUUGGGGAUUGCAAUUAUUUCCCAUGAACACGGAAUUCCCAGUAGGCGCCAGUCAUCAGCUGGCGUCGAUUGAGUCCCUGCCCUUUGUACACACCGCCCGUCGCUACUACCGAUCGCUCUUGUUAAUGAGCUUGUCGGAUUGGACCCGGUGAGCAGUCGUUGCGCUUCAUCUCCUCGCGGGGUGGGCCUUCGUCUGCGAGCUUUGGUGUAUGCCGAGAAGAUCGGCAAAUUAUCUGGAGUAAAAARKSAAAAGAGAAGCCGCCGAGUGGCGAGUUGUUGAAAGUAGCCCAGCGAAACAACGGAACAAACCCUCGGAAUAAGAAAGAAAAAGACGUGCUGUACGAAAAAGUGCAACG